GUCAAGUUAAUAAAAACAAAACAAAAAAAAUCCAUUGCUUCUGUUCCUUCUGUUUACAUAUCUCUAUUUAGUUCAUUCAGUGGUCAUCCUUGCUACAUAUUUGAAGGGUGAAAGAAAACAUAGAAAAGAAAGAAAGGAAGGGAAGUGGAUGGAGAGAAGGCUCAGAGGAUAAGAGUCUAAGAACAUAUUGCUCAUACAGAGGACACAAGUUGGGUUCCUCCAUCCACAUAUAACUGACUACAUAGCUCUAGUUCCAGGGAGAUCCAACACCUCUGGCCUCCAUGGGUACCUGCACUUGCAUGAACAUACACACACACACACACACACACACACACACACACACACACUUGAACGUAAAAGUAUAUUUAAAAAGAAAGGGGAGAAACGCCUUCAUUUGUAUGGGGCCGUCUGUUUAACGAACUUCACAUUAAAGGCGUUCCAAUAUGGAGGAAAAAUUCCCAGGAAGAACAUGGAAGACUUGUUCCAAAACGUAAAGGGCUGUUUGAAGCGUGUGUUAUUCGGCAAGGGGAGAAUGGAGACAUUGGGCGGAAGUUCACAGUCUAACCAGCUAGUCCAGUUAAGAUGGCUGCCGACAGGCACGGGGAACUUCCGGUCCAGGAUGGUGAAGGAGGGUAAAGCUGAGGAUAAGAACCUACGUAUCCUUGAAGAGCCUUCUGCUUCUUCUUUGCCACUGGCUCAGACCUGUACACAGACCACAUGCAGUCCUAACUCCCCAGUGCCACAGUCAGAGACUGCUAACCAUGAAGAUGAGAAAACUUGAUGGCUUCGUGAGAUGAGAGGCUGACUCGCAGGCAUCCGUUAGGUGCUGACAGCGUAUGUAAUGUGGAAGGCCCUGCCCACAGACUGGAUCCAGAUGCAUGCCAAGGACCAGGGCAGUCAACAGUUCAUCCUCUGCUCAGAGCAUAAAAGUAGUCUAUUCUAUGAGCACUUGCCAUGUGCAGCCGUGUGGCACUGAAUUAUGAUUAGUCCAAAUGGUAAUGUGUGUGUGUGUGUGUUAAAA